GUGUUUAUAUUUAUUUUCUUAAUCAAGAGAAAAUGUGAGUAUUUGGUUUGUUCUAUGUGGGUAGAACCUGAAGUCACUUGUUAUUACUGGUGAAAAAGGACAAAACAGAGCAAUAGUACCUCAACUUUAGAGACAAAUUUUAAAUAGCAAAGUGUAACCCUGUUCUUUUUUGCAGGCUGACCAGUUGAUGUUUGCUUUGCACUUUGUUCGGGGUAUGCAUCCUGAACUUUUUCAAGAAAAUGAAUGGGAUACGUUUACAGGCGUAGUUGUUGGAGACAUGCUGCGAAAAGCUGACUCUCAACAAAGAAUUCGUGAUCAGCUUCCAUCUUGGAUAGACCAGGAAAGAAGUUGGGCUGUGGCAACACUGAAGGUAUUUUCUUUCUUUGUGUUGUUAUUAUUUUUUACUCUUGUGUAUGUGUUUGUAUACUCUGUGUCUGUGCACAUGUGUGCUGGUGCACAUGGAGGUUAGAAGUUAGUGUUGAGCAUCUUACUUUAUUGCUGUCCAUGUAUUCUUUUUUGAUACAGUGUUUCUUACUGAGCCCAGACCUGUGAAUUGGGCAGACUGAGUUAGACGGCAUGGCCAGCAAGUACCAGGGAUCCUUGUGUUUGUGACACCCAGAGCUAGAAUUACAGACUUCAGGGCACCACGCCUGGCUCUUCAUGUAUGAUCUGGGGUUCUAAACUCAUGUUUGCAUAGCAGGCAUUUUAGCCAGUGAGCCCAUAUCACAGCUCCUGUUGAAGGCAUUUCUUUUGUGUUUUGUGGGAGAUUUUUGUAUGUGUGUGUGUUUUACUUGUGUUGACAUUUUGUAUGUGCACCUUAUUUAUAUCAGUGUUGUUAUUUCUGCAGUAAGGACUACAGUCUCUUUGUUUAAAAUGCCAAAGAAUUACUGUGGUAUUUGCCUCCUCCAGCUUGUUUUUAACCAUGCAGCUCAGGUGUGUUUGUAGACACAUGUGUCUUGAUAACUUUGUUCCCUCCUUCCCUUCUUUGACAUGCUUUUCUUGCAACUGUACAGUAAUAGAGAAAACAACAGAGAUGGCCACAGUUAUGGUGGCUCACUCUGAUUGGUUCUACACAGGUUGAAAGGCUCUUACGACCUAGUUCCAGCAGCGCGCCAGGCAGCUGCUGUGACGACACUGAUUUAACAGAGAUGGGGCGGAGUCAGAGCUGCAGUCUGCACAUGACAGCCUGGGCUCUUUCACAGCCACACUGUCUGCCUUGUUCCUGUAACCUUUUUGUUGAUAAAAUGAGCUCACGUCAGAAGUCAUUCUCUUCAUCGAUCAUUCACUUAAUGGUUAUUACGAGCUGUUAUAGUGCCAGGGUUCUUUAGUUGACCUAUCUUAAAUCAACCUGCUGACCUUCCCCUAUACCUGUCUGUGGACCACUGUGAAACCUUAUUUUACCAAGAACGCAGUAGUCUGUUGUUUGUUCAGAACUCUCCCAUCAUUUAGUAAAACUGAUUAAGUUAAAUGUGAAUUGUUAAGUUUUGUUGUUGAAUUUAGUUAGGUUACGUAAUGGGAUGUUACCAGCACAGAGAAUUAUUUAGAUGUGGGUACAGAUGCUGGAUACAGUAUCCUAACAGUCUUGAUGCACAUGUCUACUCGUGAAGGUCUAUGCAGACACAGACUCAGAUCUCCCAUUGUUUUAACAGAUUUGCACUUCUGUUCAUAUAGUCCAUUCCUGGGAAAAGCUGGGGAAAGAGGAACGUUGAGAUAGAAGGUUGGAUAUAUUUGAGUAAAUCUCUGAGAGGUUUGUUUAAGGCAAAACUAAGUGUUGAACAAACCCUUAGGAAAUGGCAGAGUGGGUUUGGACAUUUAGAGGCAAAAGAAACUAUGUGGUCACAAAUAGAUACAUAAGCAAAUAUGGUUUACAGAAAACAUGCGUUCUGAAGG